rnacentral:rRNA from 1 species
GUGAAAUUUUUUAGCGGCCGCGGUACUCCGACCGUGCAAAGGUCGCAUAAUCAUUUGCCUUAUAACUGAAGGCUUGUAUGAAUGGUCCGACAAGAAUAAAGCUGCCUCUUUAUAAUUAAUUUGAAUUUUAUUUAUAGGUGAAGAAGCCUAUAUUUUAUUGAAAGACAAGAAGACCCUAUCGAGCUUUAAAAAAAUUAAUAAACUUAAAAAUUAGUAUUUGUAAUACAAAUUUUACUAUUAAAUCAUUUUAGUUGGGGCGACUGAGGAACAAACAAAGCUUCCUGUGUAAAUAUUAACACAUUCAAGUACUGAUCCAAAAAUUUUGAUUAAAGAAAUUAGUUACCGUAGGGACUCACAGCAUUAUCUUUUUUGAGAGUUCUAAUCGAAAAAAAGGUUUGUGACCUCGAUGUUGGACCAGAAUAUCCUAAAGAUGCA